rnacentral:rRNA from 1 species
GCACAAGCGGUGGAGCAUGUGGUUUAAUUCGACGCAACGCGAAGAACCUUACCUGGGCUCGAAAUGUACGGGACAUCCCUAGAAAUAGGGCUUCCUAGCAAUAGGUCCGUAUAUAGGUGCUGCAUGGCUGUCGUCAGCUCGUGUCGUGAGAUGUUGGGUUAAGUCCCGCAACGAGCGCAACCCUUAUCUCUAGUUGCUACCAUUUAGUUGAGCACUCUAGCGAAACCGCCUCGGAUAACGGGGAGGAAGGUGGGGAUGACGUCAAGUCCUCAUGGCCUUUAUGUCCAGGGCUACACACGUGCUACAAUGGCCGGUACAAACCGCUGCAACCCCGCGAGGGUGAGCUAAUCGGAAAAAGCCGGCCUCAGUUCGGAUUGGAGUCUGCAACUCGACUCCAUGAAGCUGGAAUCGCUAGUAAUCGUGGAUCAGCAUGCCACGGUGAAUACGUUCCCGGGC